CGAAUUGGCGGGCGGCUUACACAUGCAGUCGAGCGGAAACGAUACCAGCUUGCUGGUAGGCGUCGAGCGGCGGACGGGUGAGUAAUACUUAGGAAUCUACCUAGUAGUGGGGGAUAGCUCGGGGAUACUCGAAUUAAUACCGCAUACGACCUACGGGAGAAAGGGGGCAGUUUACUGCUCUCGCUAUUAGAUGAGCCUAAGUCGGAUUAGCUAGAUGGUGGGGUAAAGGCCUACCAUGGCGACGAUCUGUAGCUGGUCUGAGAGGAUGAUCAGCCACACUGGGACUGAGACACGGCCCAGACUCCUACGGGAGGCAGCAGUGGGGAAUAUUGGACAAUGGGGGAAACCCUGAUCCAGCCAUGCCGCGUGUGUGAAGAAGGCCUUUUGGUUGUAAAGCACUUUUAGCAGUGAAGAAGACUCCUCGGCUAAUACCCGUGGACGAUGACAUUAGCUGCAGAAUAAGCACCGGCUAACUCUGUGCCAGCAGCCGCGGUAAUACAGAGGGUGCAAGCGUUAAUCGGAAUUACUGGGCGUAAAGCGAGCGUAGGUGGCUUGAUAAGUCAGAUGUGAAAUCCCCGGGCUUAACCUGGGAACUGCAUCUGAAACUGUUAGGCUAGAGUAGGUGAGAGGAGGGUAGAAUUCCAGGUGUAGCGGUGAAAUGCGUAGAGAUCUGGAGGAAUACCGAUGGCGAAGGCAGCCUUCUGGCAUCAUACUGACACUGAGGCUCGAAAGCGUGGGUAGCAAACAGGAUUAGAUACCCUGGUAGUCCACGCCGUAAACGAUGUCUACUAGUCGUUGGGUCCCUUGAGGACUUAGUGACGCAGCUAACGCAAUAAGUAGACCGCCUGGGGAGUACGGCCGCAAGGUUAAAACUCAAUGAAUUGACGGGGGCCCGCACAAGCGGUGGAGCAUGUGUUUAAUUCGAUGCAACGCGAGAACCUUACCUGGUCUUGACAUAUCUAGAUCCUGCAGAGAUGCGGGAGUGCCUUCGGGAUUAGAUACAGUGCUGCAUGCUGUCGUCAGCUCGUGUCAUGAAUGUUGGGUUAAGUCCCGCAACGAGCGCA
rnacentral:rRNA from 1 species